rnacentral:misc_RNA from 1 species
GAAAAUUUCUUCAAGCCUUGCUGAAGGUAAUGGUCGUUCACCUAGGUCCUCAUCCAUCAGAAAUCUGUUCAUGGUAUAUUCACAUCUAGUCAAAAGAACCCUGAUUGAGAUUUUGCUGACUUCAGAUCUUGUCGAGCUCCAAUCACCAGCUUCAUUAUCGUAACUGCUCAAGAAAAACAACUUCUGCAAGCAAGCCAGGGAAAAUCUGCUACAAUGAAAUGGCAUAAGUUCCACGGUUUCAAUGGGCAAAGAGCAUGUGCGUGAUGCACAACGGUCCAUGGUGGAAACUAGUCGCUCCAGAAUCUGUCAGGCGAAAACACAGAAUUAGCUAAGGAAUGAUAUUUUGUAUCAGUAUCUAAGACCUUAAGGAAUACUUUGAAAUUACAUUAAUACACAUAGGACACAGAUUCAAUGGAGUAAACAUAAUACGAUAGGAAUUAUUCAGGAUUCUGCUAAUGAUAAUGAUCACCAUUGUCAUAUGAUUGAGAUCAUCAAACAAAAAAAAAAAUAUACUAGAAUGUGCACAGGGAAAGUAAACCUAUGGCUACAAGAUACAACAACUUUGGAAGAUCCAAAAUUUGAGCUCAUGCAACCUUACAACCUAGACAAAAUUAGUAAAGUAGGCUAAAUUCAUGAGAAAAGUUCAAAAGAAACUACUGUCAUUACUAUUGGCGGCAACAUCAGAUUUAUCUAAAGGUAGUAGUUGAACUGCAUCUACAAAUAUAUUGGCUAAAUGUGCCUAGUCAAGGCCCUUAUGUUACACAGCUAAUGUUAGAGCUGUAAUUGGUAAGAAAAUUACAUCAACAGGUGCAUCAAUUGGUGAUUUAAGAAUCUUAUCACCCAGAACAUGCAGAAUGGUCAUCUCCAGUGCCUCAUCAGCCUUAAGUGCUUCAGCUGAGAGAGAGUUGGAAGGUAUGGCACGACCACAAUAGCCUACCAGGAAUAUUUCAUAAACAUCUGCUAUUUCUUUCCAGACACGUGUUCUCAUAGGUCUAUUAAUUCUGGAAUCUGGUCCAAAAUUCCCAGUAAACUUGCAAAAGUCAUCAGCAAGAACACGGUUGAAGCCUUCAACAGCCACUCUCCAAAGUGAACCAUCUGGAUUGUCUCUUCUUGUAGUCAUACACCUUCCGAGACUCUGAAUAAUUUCAGGAAAUAUAAUAUAUUUUUCAACUGCUGCAGCAUGUAGGAAAAGAUCUAUCAGCACAGGAACAAGCUUUUCUGCAAAUGCAUAACUUGGAAUUCCACCCAAUACUGUUAUCGUUGAUCCAGAACCCUGAGGUGGGGCUUCAGCUUCUUUUGGGAAAAUGGAAGCUGUACCAUUGGGCAUUUCAUCCUUUCUCUUUAUAUUAUUGCCUGGUACAUUAUCAGUAAUGCUGGCUUGCUUAACCUCCUCAUCAUUUUUUUGCAAAGAAGAAUCUGAUCUUGGAAGAUAUUGUAAAAGCUCCCUAAGAAGAACAAGCCACAUUGAAGAGAUGAGUUCAGUUGGAUGCAACAGCGGUAAGAUUUCUAAUACGGUACGCAGCACAGGAGGAACAUGUCCAAAUUCACUUUCAAAGUUUUCAUUGGUAGUUAUGGCUUGCUUAAUUGCCAAAUCUAUGAUCCCAAUCAACUGAGAGAACAUUUGAUCAUCAAACAUCCUUUGUGCUUGCACAUACAAUUCACCAAGACCAUGUAAAAUCUCUUGCUUCACCUUGCUAGCUGCAUUGCCAGUGUAGUUUGUUGAUUUUUGAAUAACAUGCUUGUAUGCACCAAGUAUGGAUAUAAGGUAAGGCAUUGGCAAAUUACCCUUUAGGCAAUGAGAAUGAACAGUUGUCUGCAGACAGUUUAUUCCAGCAAUGGCGACCUCUUUACUACCAUUUAAAAUACUAUUCUUCACAAAGAGAAGCAAAGAUUCCCAUCCUGACCAGAAAUUGCUUAAGCUACUGAGAAAGGGAAAGAAAGAACGCAAUAGACGUGCUAUUCCACCAAGGACCAGUACCAGUGUUUCAUCCCACUGUUUCUGAACUGUAUUACGACUAUGAUGGAUCAGCAUAUGAACUGCUUUUCCUCCUCGAGUUCCUAGUUCUUUCCCUUGUGAUUCAUCUUUUGAUGAUGUUGCCGCCAUGUGAGAAGAACGAUCUAAAGCAGGAAAAACAUAAUUCCAAAGACAAUCCUCCCACAUGCUUUUUGAAAGUUUUUGCCCAUGACUUCCAAGAGUUUGAAAGAGUGUCCUGACAGCAGCAUUUCUGACCUCUGGCCUCUCAUCAGCUCCAAGCCUCUGAAGUAACGAGAAAACAGAGAACAGCAACUUGUCAUGAUCAAUGAUAUUUACUGUGGGAGCUUGGUCAUUCACUUUAUCUGUUGCUUCUGGAGUCUGCUCUUCUUUUAAUUCACCAUCUAGUUGCCUUAAAAUAGGAUGCUCAUCAAGAAUACUGGUUUCCUUUUCUUCCGGAGGCCCAUGCAGAAGCCCCUUCACAAUAAAAUCAGUGGUGGUCCAUAAGAGGCCUAUUGCAGUUAAACUUAUAUUCAGUUCAGUCUUUUGAGCACUGUAUGCUCCGGUGACAUCUACACAUCUGUAAUAUCAACAUUGUUACUGGUAAUCGUUCUAAACAGGUGUCAGAAAGUGGUAACUUGCCUUAAUGUAUGGUAACUAUCAAUCUUAAAUUGCAUGAGCCCUAGAAGAAACUCAUUCAUUAAAUAAAAGUUAAAACCUGCACCCCAGAAUCCAUCAAAUAUAUUAACCACAGGACCAUAAAAAAUUGAAAUUUUAUUCUGAAUGAUUUGUUUCAAGUUCCCUCUUCCACUAUGGUUUCCAUAUCUUCUCCUAAUUCUUAAGACCUGAACUUUACCAGUAAAUUUAUAUUGCAUACUUAUUCAAUGUGCAUCAAGCUUCCACAAACUUUGAAUAUCUUAUAAGAACAAAGACUGUACAGAUGUACACUAUCACAGUAUCCCUACAGCACACAUAACUAAAACCAUAUAUUUAUGACCUUCAUUCUAAGGAAUAUGCAGAAGAAAUGGAAAUGCAAUUUCACUAUCAACUCAAAAAAUUAGAGGAUUUUAACUAUUUGAGUAAAAACAUAAUCUACAUUUAAAAAUUUCAUGAACAUUCUAAUCCAUGGGCGUGCACACACAGACACAAACACAGACACAGACAUAAAGUAUGUAUGUAGGAAUCUGAAAAGAGAAAUAUGAAAUGGUUAUUUAAAUAAAAUGAGUAGUAAGAAAGAAAACAUGUGAGAAAAUAGAUGAAAGAGACACUACUGAAACUGCUAAACUUCAGUUCCAAAACCAAAAAUCACAACUAAAUUUCAUAUCUUACACAUUGAGACAUUCAGUGGGUAUCGAAGUAAGUCCAUCGUUCAUAAUUACUCUUAGGCUCUGGAAACCCAAAGCAACGAGAUCUUUCUCUGGUGCGUCGGCAACUGACCUUAAUGUUUCAAGAAUAUCUGGCCAACUGUAAUAUAAUUUUUCUCCAUGCCUCUCCAGAACAUGCAGAAGAAUUUUCAAGCAUCCAGCAUGUACAUCAGCACUUUGAGUGGAAAAAUACAGAACCCUAAGUGGAGAUAUGACAGAACACUCGAGCAAUCUCAACCCUUUAUGCCUAGUUUCCAUAUCAUCAGAUGUCCCAUUAAGUCUGGAUGACACAUAAUCCUGGAACUGUUCAGAACCUAAAACAGCACAGAUCGAUUGAUCUAAUGCAUCAAGGGCCAUAUUCCGCAAAUGCUGAUUGGAAUUAUCAGCUAGAUCUAGAAAGUGGCUCACAACUUGAUCCCACAAUGGCUCCACUCUGUGAAGAUUAUUGACAAGGAUGGAUAUCAUCCUCUCCACUGAAAAACUAAUGCUUCCAAUCUUUUGACUCACUGCUGGUCCAAAACCACUUGAUGCUUCAGUCAUGCAUUGCUGUGACAAUUGACACAGUGCAGAAAGAAGUGAUUUAACUGCAGAUAUGUGCAUCAAUGCUGAGCUCUCAAAUAGCUGGGAAUUCAAUGAAGACAGAAUACUGAAGUCACUGUAUUGGCCAGAAGAUUCUCUUGGAAGCUUUUGGACAGCUGUGGAGAUUUCCUGGGUGGUGGCAUGUGGAGAGUGAAUUGCCCGAUCUAGAGCUGCUAAAGUUUCCAAAACUAAAACCCAUGAUGGCCCUAAAACGUUGUGCAACCGAUGAGCAAUGUUGAAGAGAGUCCUCAGGGCCUGCACAUUCUUGGGAGUAAGAACAACACUCUCCCUCGGUUCAACUAGUGACUCAGGCCGUUUUGGCCCAGGAGACAGCACUGCACUCUUUUUCUCUGCUUCAUUUGGAAAAUUAAUAGUGAAUUUACAAAGCGAUGCUAGAAAAGAGUUCAAAGGUUCUACAGCAUGAAGAACCCCACAUGCCUGAGUGAAUGCCUGAUAUCCCUUCAAUAUUUCCAACACAAUAGCCUCUCCUUGUGACCUCGACAAAAUAAGGGACAAAGCAUCAAGAAUUGUCAACCACAAUGAAUCAACCAUUGCAACACAAAGAACAGCAGUUUUCCCAGCAAAUUUUGACACAGAAUCAUAUUCACUUCUGGGAGACUCAAGCUCCCCAACAUCCACUGCUUCAUCAGUCAAAGUAGCUACAGUAAAGACAACACCCAACAGCCCUUCAACUGCCAAAGUUAUGGCGUGGGCUUCACUAGCAACCAGGACAGCAGCAUUGGAUGCAUCAUUAUCCAGACUCCAUUCAAUCCCUUUAGCCUUGCUGCUAAACAUCCCUGCAACAGCGGCCAGGCUCUCCUCACUUGUUUCUUGAACCUGUACAUUUGAAACAACCCGAGCAAGAGCUUUAACCAUACCCUCCACAACAUUUGUGUUCUUAGGAUGCAUAUCAAAGUUCUGGAAAAGAAUUUUUAAAGUCCGUGCCUCUACACAAAAACCCCUCAAGAUCUCAAGCACAAGUAUACGGUGCCAUAAUGGCAAAUCAAGAAAAGUAACCUUCACAAGCAUACUAAGAAAAACCUCACAUUCAGUAAUAAGGGAUGAACUGUACAGCCUGAUAAUAUGAGCAACUGAUCGC